GAUAGAGGGCAAGCACAGAAAUGGUGUUCACCAGCUCCUCUGUCCCUGGAGAGAGUCCUACUGAGCCCUGUCCCUCCGGCAGAUGCUUUAGGAUUAACAAGUGAAUCUCCUUCACAUAUAGUCUAGGUGCUUUGGAAACUGCUGCUUUUGCACUGAGUCUGGGGGCAAGUGAGUCCGUGUGUGAGCCCUUCAAGAGCAGGAUCUCGGUUCCCUACACCCCUUUGGUUCUUGUAGAGGGCCCAAACUCUUAUACAUAUUUAAAUGCUAUCUGAUUGGAUUCUGCACAUUCUUCAUGGCUUUGCCUGGUUCUUCUCGCUGCAACACCGAAGUCAUAUUAAUGAUGGAUAAAAUCAUUGGACUUAGUUUGGGUAUCUCCCAAAGCAGACCUGGAGACAAGAACAGGAAUUUAAGUAGGACAUAAAACACUGAGAAGUGAGAAGAGGACGGAAGCCAACCAAGAGGACGUGUAUCAUCAAGCCAGUCGUCACCGCGGCUACUGGAGCUUAAGGUGAACGAGGAAAAGCUGGCAGCCAGCACGAAACCUGUGUCUCCAAGUCCUCCAAAUGACUCAUUGCUUGGAAGCAGUUUGGGGCUCUUUAGAGAAAUACAUAUGAGUUUCACGGUCAU